GGAAAGGCGCGCGAUACAGGGUGACAGCCCCGUACACAAAAAUGCACAUGCUGUGAGCUCGAUGAGUAGGGCGGGACACGUGGUAUCCUGUCUGAAUAUGGGGGGACCAUCCUCCAAGGCUAAAUACUCCUGACUGACCGAUAGUGAACCAGUACCGUGAGGGAAAGGCGAAAAGAACCCCGGCGAGGGGAGUGAAAAAGAACCUGAAACCGUGUACGUACAAGCAGUGGGAGCACGCUUAGGCGUGUGACUGCGUACCUUUUGUAUAAUGGGUCAGCGACUUAUAUUCUGUAGCAAGGUUAACCGAAUAGGGGAGCCGAAGGGAAACCGAGUCUUAACUGGGCGUUAAGUUGCAGGGUAUAGACCCGAAACCCGGUGAUCUAGCCAUGGGCAGGUUGAAGGUUGGGUAACACUAACUGGAGGACCGAACCGACUAAUGUUGAAAAAUUAGCGGAUGACUUGUGGCUGGGGGUGAAAGGCCAAUCAAACCGGGAGAUAGCUGGUUCUCCCCGAAAGCUAUUUAGGUAGCGCCUCGUGAAUUCAUCUCCGGGGGUAGAGCACUGUUUCGGCAAGGGGGUCAUCCCGACUUACCAACCCGAUGCAAACUGCGAAUACCGGAGAAUGUUAUCACGGGAGACACACGGCGGGUGCUAACGUCCGUCGUGAAGAGGGAAACAACCCAGACCGCCAGCUAAGGUCCCAAAGUCAUGGUUAAGUGGGAAACGAUGUGGGAAGGCCCAGACAGCCAGGAUGUUGGCUUAGAAGCAGCCAUCAUUUAAAGAAAGCGUAAUAGCUCACUGGUCGAGUCGGCCUGCGCGGAAGAUGUAACGGGGCUAAACCAUGCACCGAAGCUGCGGCAGCGACGCUUAUGCGUUGUUGGGUAGGGGAGCGUUCUGUAAGCCUGUGAAGGUGUGCUGUGAGGCAUGCUGGAGGUAUCAGAAGUGCGAAUGCUGACAUAAGUAACGAUAAAGCGGGUGAAAAGCCCGCUCGCCGGAAGACCAAGGGUUCCUGUCCAACGUUAAUCGGGGCAGGGUGAGUCGACCCCUAAGGCGAGGCCGAAAGGCGUAGUCGAUGGGAAACAGGUUAAUAUUCCUGUACUUGGUGUUACUGCGAAGGGGGGACGGAGAAGGCUAUG
rnacentral:rRNA from 1 species